UAAGGAAUAUUGCUCAAUGGGAGAAAUCCUGAAGCAGCAACGCCGCGUGGAGGAUGAAGGGUCUAUGACUUGUAAACUCCUGUAAAGAAGGAAAAAAUUCCCAUUUGAUGGGAGAUGAUGGUACUUCUGGAGUAAGCCCCGGCUAACUACGUGCCAGCAGCCGCGGUAAUACGUAGGGGGCAAGCGUUGUCCGGAUUUACUGGGUGUAAAGGGUGCUCAGGCGGAUUUGUAAGUCAGAGGUGAAAUCUUACAGCUUAACUGUGAAACUGCCUUUGAUACUGCAAGCCUAGAGUAUGGAAGAGAGUGAUGGAAUAUCUGGUGUGGCAGUGAAAUGCGUAGAUAUCAGAUAGAACACCAAUGGCGAAGGCAGUCACUUGGUCCAUUACUGACGCUAAAGCACGAAAGCGUGGGUAGCAAACA
rnacentral:rRNA from 1 species